UACGUAGGGGGCUAGCGUUGUCGGAAUCAUUGGGCGUAAAGAGCGUGUAGGCGGCCCGGUAAGUCCGCUGUUAAAGUCGGGGGCUCAACCCUCGAAUGCCGGUGGAUACUGUCGGGCUAGAGUGCGGAAGAGGUGAGUGGAAUUCCUGGUGUAGCGGUGAAAUGCGCAGAUAUCAGGAGGAACACCAAUGGCGAAGGCAGCUCACUGGGACGGUAUUGACGCUGAGACGCGAAAGCGUGGGGAGCAAACAGG
rnacentral:rRNA from 1 species